AUUGAACGCUGGCGGCAGGCCUAACACAUGCAAGUCGAGCGGAGCGGCGGACGGGUGAGUAAUGCCUAGGAAUCUGCCUGGUAGUGGGGGAUAACGUCCGGAAACGGGCGCUAAUACCGCAUACUAUCAGAUGAGCCUAGGUCGGAUUCGCUAGUUGGUGGGGUAAAGGUCUACCAGGGCGACGAUCCGUAACUGGUCUGAGAGGAUGAUCAGUCACACUGGAAAUGAGACACGGUCCAGACUCCUACGGGAGGCAGCAGUGGGGAAUAUUGGACAAUGGGCGAAAGCCGGAUCCAGCCAUGCCGCGUGUGUGAAGAAGGUCUUCGGAUUGUAAAGCACUUUCAGCGGGGAGGCGUUACCCGCAGAAGAAGCACCGGCUAACUCCGUGCCAGCAGCCGCGGUAAUAC
rnacentral:rRNA from 1 species